UGGGGAAUAUUGGACAAUGGGCGCAAGCCUGAUCCAGCCAUGCCGCGUGAGAGAUGAAGGCCCUAGGGUUGUAAAGCUCUUUCACCGGUGAAGAUAAUGACGGUAACCGGAGAAGAAGCCCCGGCUAACUUCGUGCCAGCAGCCGCGGUAAUACGAAGGGGGCUAGCGUUGUUCGGAUUUACUGGGCGUAAAGCGCACGUAGGCGGACUAUUAAGUCAGAGGUGAAAUCCCGGGGCUCAACCCCGGAACUGCCUUUGAUACUGGUAGUCUUGAGUUCCAGAGAGGUGAGUGGAAUUCCGAGUGUAGAGGUGGAAUUCGUAGAUAUUCGGAGGAACACCAGUGGCGAAGGCGGCUCACUGGCUCGAUACUGACGCUGAGGUGCGAAAGCGUGGGGAGCAAACAGG
rnacentral:rRNA from 1 species